AUUGAACGCUGGCGGCAGGCCUAACACAUGCAAGUCGAACGAGUGGCGGACGGGUGAGUAAUGUCUGGGAAACUGCCUGAUGGAGGGGGAUAACUACUGGAAACGGUAGCUAAUACCGCAUACCAUCGGAUGUGUCCCGAUGGGAUGAGCUAGUAGGUGGGGUAAAGGCUCACCUAGGCGACGAUCCCUAGCUGGUCUGAGAGGAUGACCAGCCCUACUGGAACUGAGACACGGUCCAUACUCCUACGGAAGUCAGCAGUGGGGAAUAUUGCACAAUGGUGGCAAGCCUGAUGCAGCCAUUCCGCGUGUAUUAAGAAGUCCUUCGGGUUGUAAAGUACUUUCAGCGGGGAGGCGUUACCCGCAGAAGAAGCACCGGCUAACUCCGUGCCAGCCGCCGCGGUAAUAC
rnacentral:rRNA from 1 species